rnacentral:rRNA from 1 species
CAAUAGCGUAUAUUAAAGUUGUUGCAGUUAAAAAGCUCGUAGUUGGAUUUGUGGCGUACGGUGGGUUCCGGGCACUUGUUGUCUGAGUAACUUGCUGUUGCCAUCCUUGGGUGGAACCUGUGUGGCAUUAGGUUGUCGUGCAGGGGAUGCCCAUCAUUUACUGUGAAAAAAUUAGAGUGUUCAAAGCAGGCUUAUGCCGUCGAAUAUAUUAGCAUGGAAUAAUGAGAUAGGACUUUUUUGCUAUUUUGUUGGUUUGCGCAAAGAGGUAAUGAUUAAUAGGGACAGUUGGGGGUAUUCGUAUUCCAUUGUCAGAGGUGAAAUUCUUGGAUUUUUGGAAGACGAACUACUGCGAAAGCAUUUACCAAGGAUGUUUUCAUUAA